GGGAGGAGCUUCCUUGCUUCAACUCUGGUCUCAGGGAAGGCUGUCUCCAUUACUGAAUUUGGAUGUAAUGGAGGCAGCCACAAACUGGAGGCCUGAGCAGUGAGCCUCACAUGAAACGGAAGCUUCAAAUUGGAGUUUGAUACACAAGGCAGCGGUCAGGACCUCUGGAGGUUCAACUGCACACCUCAGGUGUUUCACCAACUUCUGCUUUGGAAAACAUCUCCUGUUUAGAGUGCUUUUAUGAAGCAUCUUCUCUACAACUAUAGGCUAUGUUCUGUGAGCAUCUACCUUCUAAGGUGAGGAGAGAUGGCUACCAGGAGCAUGGCUUUCUUUGUUGGAUAAUCUAUUCACCAAGCACCAUGGUUUUAUUUGUAGGGCUUGCCAGCAGAGGUUGCUGAAGACAAUGUACUGCACUUAAAGCAAAUGGAGUUCAGGAUACAAGCAAGCAAUGGCCUGUGUUCUUCCUUUCUCUGCAUACUUUGUUCUCCUUUCUUCUGCUUACCAGAGCAAGAAACAUGGACCAGAAUAUUCUUGCAGACGAAGAAAGUGUGUGUGUGUGUGUGUGUGUGUGUGUGUGUGUGUGUGUGUGUUGGGGUGUGUGUGAUAUUUGUAUGAGUUAUUGACUGUUAUUCAUAGCCCACUCUAUCCCUUUAACAGAACUUCAUUGCCUUCCACUCCACUGGUUAUAUAUCAACAGAAGCUAAACACAUGCAGAAGCUCAGCAAGGGUCACGAGUUUGCCAAAUUAUGCAAGAGGCAAAGCAGCUAUAUAAAUGUUUCUGUAAUUUGUAUUUGAAAAUGCACAGCUUACUUUAAAGUGCAUUUUUAAAAAGCCAUUUUGCUGAAAUUCAGAGUAUUGUGAUCAUAGUAAAUCUAAUAUGUAAAAUGGA